rnacentral:rRNA from 1 species
GAAUCUUCCACAAUGGGCGCAAGCCUGAUGGAGCAACGCCGCGUGAGUGAGGAAGGCUUUCGGGUCGUAAAGCUCUGUUGCCAGGGAAGAAUAAGGAUGAGAGUCACUGCUCAUUCGAUGACGGUACCUGAGAAGACAGCCCCGGCUAACUACGUGCCAGCAGCCGCGGUAAUACGUAGGGGGCAAGCGUUGUCCGGAAUUAUUGGGCGUAAAGCGCGCGCAGGCGGUUGUUUAAGUCUGGUGUCUAAGUGCGGGGCUCAACCCCGUGAUGCAUCGGAAACUGGGCAACUUGAGUGCAGAAGAGGAGAGCGGAAUUCCACGUGUAGCGGUGAAAUGCGUAGAGAUGUGGAGGAACACCAGUGGCGAAGGCGGCUCUCUGGACUGUAACUGACGCUGAGGCGCGAAAGCGUGGGGAGCAAACAG